GAUAAAACUGAGGCACAGAAAGUCAAAGUAAUUUGUCCAAGGUCACACAGUAGUAGAGUUUGGAUUUGAAUCUAGACUGUUUGCAUGCAGUGACUGAGAUCUUAAAAAAUAGAGAUCUUAGCCACCAUGCUAUGCAAUAUGCUGAUUAUGACAAGAAUGAUAAUAAUAAAGGUAAUAAUAGCAUCAAACACUAACAUAAUGCUAACUACUCAAGUCACUGUUCCAAACACCAUCUCUAUAUCAACUCGUUUAAUCCUCACAACAAAGGUAGAUACUAUUAUUAACCCCAUUUUUCAGAUGAGGAAACUUUGGCACAGAGAGGUUUAAUAAUUUGUCUAAGGUCAUACCACUAGGAAGUAAAAGAUCUCUGAUUCAAAUCCGGGCAGUCUGGGUCCAUUAUAACACACUGCCUCUAUAACAAAGAUAGCUGGGGUGUAACAGAAAAAAGCAGUAGGCUAGGAGUUUAGAAAAACAAUUCGGACUCAACCAUUUCCUAGCUCUGAAAUCUUGCAAGAUAUAUUACCUUUCAUAGCUUCACUUUCUUUAUAAAAUAGAGAACAAUUUUUACUAACAGAGCUAGUAUAAGGAUUAAACAAGAAUGUAUACGGAAGUAUUUUGGAGAAUGUAAAGUGAUAUAUAAUUGUAUGGAAUUAAUGAAUAGAGUGGGUAGGAACAGUUAAGAAAUUACAUAUAUGUAUUCACUGUAUAUAUAUUGUAAUAAUUACAGUAUAUGUAUAUACAUAUUAUCUAGUGACACACGCACACAAACACACACACACACACAACUGUUAAUAAUUGCAACUUCCAAUACUCAGACAGGAAUUAUGACCUCCCUCCCAUUUGCAACAUGGUUUUUUAGAUUUUUGGAUUAUACUACUAGGAAUACUGUAUUUCUCAUAAUGUCACAGGUUUCGUAAACAGACCUGAGGUUGGCAGGUCGGCUAAGGGCAGUUCAUUACCAAAUAAUCAGAUUGCAAAUGACAACCUGAACAAUGGUAAAGCAAUUGCUAGUUGCUGUGAUUAACAUGGACCAUUUGAUGAGGCUAUUACAGCAAAUCUAGCCCACCAGAUGUACCUCAUUGUGUCUCUCACAGAACUAGUUCAAUCCUUAUGAUAAGCAAUAGUGCUGGAGAAGAAUGGAAGUGAUUCUCAAAUGUGUGAUUUCAAUAUAUCCCUCUGAGUCUUACUGGAUGGUAUGAUCUCACAUUAAAAGAACCAUCCAGUGGAGCUCAACAGUUUUAUUCCCACUAUACAAUAACUCCUCUUCAGUACUAUACUUCAUAGAAGAUGACACUUAAAAAUCAUAGCAAAAGCAGCACCCACCAAGUUACAGGGGUGCAAAUGUCUGCUGAAAGCCAUGGUAAUUGCAAAGAAGUAAAAAAGCAAGAGAACUCUGUCUCCAUCAGAGCCUGGCUGUAGGCACAUCAGACAACAUAGUGGACCUUGCUAUUCUGACUGCUGAAAACAAGGAUAGGGAAAAGAUGACAAAAGCAAUUUGUCACUAUGUGAAGGAAAUUUGUUCAAAAGGUACAACAACCAGGGCAGUUCCAAUUGUAUGGUUUUCAAUAAAAAAUUUCAAUACAUAACACUUAUUUUUAUUUUAUAUAGCCAAGAUUUUUUAUAUAAACAUAUUCAGAUAUCAGGAAAAAAUUUUCUCUCAUAGUACUUUAGGACAUUUUUUAGAAACCAAUGAACUUUCUAUUCAAAUGAAUUAUUGAUUUUUCUAUUUAGACGGAGUCUCGCUCUGUCACCCAGGCUGGAGUGCAGUGGUGUGAUCUCGGCUCACUGCAACCUCCGCCUCCCGGGUUUCAAGCGAUUCUCGUGUCUCAGCCUCCUGAGUAGCUGGGACAACAUGUGCCUGCCACCACACCCAGCUAAUUUUUUUUUUUUUGUAUUUUUAGCAGGGAUGGGGUUUCACCAUGUUAGCCAGGGCUGGUCUCAAACUCCUGACCUCAAAUGAGCCACCUGCUUCGGCCUCCCAAAGUGUUGGGAUUACAGGCGUGAGCCACCAUGCCCAACCUCAAAUGAACUAGAAAACAGAAAUUAAAAUCUUAAAGCAUAAAAAGUGGAACUUUAUGCAUUUUUACCACAAUAAAAAUACAUAUGGAACUUCCAGUCGAAAUUACUUGGGUAGGGGGAGGAAUCGAGUCCUAUAGCCAACCCCCCUCCACCAAAUCAGAAAUUUCUAGACCCUCUGAGAAUGCCAUUUGAAAAAGAAAUCACUGUUUUUAUUAUUUCAUGUUGUCCAAAUUGUUUAUUAAAUAAUAUGAUCCUGUACUUACUUUCACCCACACAUUCAUGUCCAGUCUGAGAGCAUGUCAAUCAAAUUUAAUCUAUAUUUCUAUCUUCUGGACAGUCAAAAUCAUUAAGACUGUGAUACAAUACAGAUCUGCUUGACAGACAUAUUUUAAUAGUCUUUUGUACCUUAAUGGCACAGACAUCUAUAUUUUAGUGCUUCCCAGUGUUUCUGUCUGUACUGAAUAAGCAGGCAAUAGGAUCAAGCUCUGACACGUUGCACUAGAGGCAGGAUGGGAUGAAUCCCUGCCCCUUUCUUGUCUCCAUAGAGGGUGACUUAUCCAGAUGAAUUCCUUAGUAAUCAGCAAGGUAAGAGAGGGGCAGCAUGGGGGCUAUGUUACCCAAGGGACUCAUUUGAAGAAAGGCUUUUUGUCAUUAAACAUCUAUCUCUCAAGAAGCAAACAACUGGAGCUUUAGACAGGAGAGAAAAAAGUGUUCCCUGGUCCACUGAAGUAACUAGCUGACUAUUGAAAAGAAAUAGUUUCUUUAGUAGUUUAAGUAAAAGUAAAACCCUGGAUUAAAUGGAAGAGUACACCUAAUUUUAAUAAAUGUCUUAAACAUUCAUAUCACUCACUUUAUAACUCAAAGUUUCUCCCUUUUCUCUCUUGAUAUUUCACUCUAAAAGGCGAAUGGAGAAGAUUUACAAGUAAAGGAAAGGUACAUUUAUAUUCAGAAUUUUCUUUCCUUUCAGGUUCCAAAGUUUGAGCUUAAAUACCUCUGGCUAAAGAAUGAAAAAUCAGGCACUUUUUAUGGCACCAGUUCAAUGAUGAGGAAGAGUGAGAAGAAGAGAAGUUAAAGGCAUGAAUAAGUCAAAUGGACUAAAGUAGCAGCAUGGUAUGGUGGAAAGGGCAUGGAACUUGGAGCUGGAAGACCUGAUUUCUAGUCCUGCCUCUGCCACUAAUUCCAUAUGGCUUGCCUUAGGUAUUUGUCAAAGAAGCAUACAAAUACCUUAUAACUCCAGACUGUGAAGGUAAAUACUUUCUGAAAAUGUGAUAUGUACCCCUCAAUACUUUGUAAUCAACAGUAUCGUACUAAGCUCAUUACCAUAUUUUACUCAUGAGAAACAUGAAGGUUUAACAAACUUAAAGCUUAGGUUCUAAAGAUCACCACAUGAAAAAUUUUCUCCUGCGUCCUUUUCUAACUUCAUGCACUCACUUUUUUUUUUAUUUCCAACUUAUAAGUUCAGGGGUACAUGUGCAGGAUGUACAGGUUUGUUACAUAGGUAAACGUGUGCCACGGUGGUUUGCUGCACAGAUCAUCCCAUCACCCAGGUAUGAAGCCCAGCAUCACUAAUUAUUCUAUCUGAUCCUCUCUCUCCUCCCACUCCCCACCCUCUGACAGGCCCCAGUGUGUAUUCUUCCCCCCAUGUGUCCAUGUGUUCUCAUCAUUUAGCUCCCACUGAUAAGUGAGAACACGUGGUACUUGGUUUUCUGUUCCUGCAUUAGUUUGCUAAGCACAACGGCCCCCAGCUCCAUCCAUGUCCCUGCAAAGGACAUGAUCUCGUUCCUUUUUAUGGCUGCAUAGUAUUCCAUAGUGUAUAUGUACCACAUUUUCUUUAUCCAGUCUAUGGUUGAGGAGCAUUUAGGUUGAUUCCAUGUCUUUGCUAUUGUGAAUAGUGCUACAAUGGACAUAUGCAUGCAUGUGUCUUUAUAGUAGAACGAUUUAUAUUGCUUCACAUAUAUAACGAAUAUAUACAGUGGUUUGGGUACAUCCCCAGUAAUGGGAUUGCUGGGCAGAAUGGUAUUUCUGUCCUUAGGUCUUUGAGGAAUCGCCACACUGUUUUCCAUAAUGGUUGAGCUAAUUUACACUCCUACCAACAGUGUAAAAGUGUUUGUUUUUCUCCACAACCUUGCCAGCAUCUGUUAUUUUUGACGUUUUAAUAAUAGCCAUUCUGACUGGCAUGAGAUGGUAUCUCACUAUGGUUUUGAUUUGUAUUCCUCUAAUGAUCAGUGAUGUUGAGCUUUUGUUCAUAUGUUUUUGGCCACAUAUAUGUCUUCUUUUGAGAAGUGGCUGUUCAUGUCCUUUGCCCACUUUUUAAUGGAGUUUUUUUUUUGUAAAUUUGUUUAAGUUCCUUACAGAUGCUGGAUAUUAGGCAUUUGUCAGAUGCAUAGAUUGCAAAUAUUUUCUCCCAU
rnacentral:lncRNA from 10 species